UUACGGCCAUAUCACGUUGAAAAACCAGCACCUGUACGAUCACCGAAGUUAAGCAAUUUCGAACCUGGUCAGUAACUUGAUAGGUAACUGUUUGGGAAUACUAGUGUUGUA